rnacentral:rRNA from 1 species
GUUCCCAUACCGAACACGUAGGUUAAGACUAAAGCGGCCGAUGGUACUUGGCUGGAGACGGCCCGGGAGAGUAGGUGGUUGCCAAAU